UGUAGCUGCAUGAAGCGCUGGGGUGCACUGGGGCCGGUGGGUAGACCAGCUUGGCCACAGUGAAAUGUAUGGACUACAAGAGGGAAUUAUGGGAAGUGAAACUUCCAGUGUAAAGAUCACCAGUUAAUAGAGAGGCUUAGGAUAGCCUCACCCAGGUGAGGAAUGGGCUCUGACCCAAAGGAACUCAUGACAAUUGACAGCCAACUCUGACCCAGCACAGCACUGACCAGAUAGAUGCUUUAAGCAAUGACAACUCCUGGUGGGAUGGGCUUGCUACUCCGUUCCCACCUUAUAGAUGAGGGACACUGAGGCUUGGAGAGGUGAUGUGCCCAAGGUCAUGCAGUCGGGAGGAAGUAAAACUGGAAUAGGAAGAGGAAGUAAAACCGGAAUACAAAGAGGAAGUAAAACCGGAAUACGAAACCACGCUCUUUGGUCAAUAUCACAUUGCUUUGCCAAAUGCUGCUGGGAUUAAUUGGUCAGGGACUGACAGGAUGACAACACCAUUUUGGAAAAUGUCGCUGGACUUACUGAAUCAGAAUCUGCACUUGAACAAAACUCCCAGGUGAUUCAUAGGCACAUUACAGUGUGGGAGGAACUGCUGUAAUAAUUUAGGCAUGGCUUGAUGAGACCCUGUAAUGUGAUAUCAGUGGCAAUGGGAAGAGAAAACUGACUCAGAGAGGGACGCUGGUGAUGAGUCAGCAAACCCUGGAGAGUGCUUAAAAAUGACAGAGACUGUUAUGUUUUCGUUUGUUUGUUUGUUUUUUGUUUUUUAAGAGACAGGGUCUGGCUCUGUUGUCCAGGCUGGAGUGCAGUGGCGCCAUCAUAGCUCACUGUACCCUUGAACUCCUAGGCUCAAGUGAUCGUCCUGCCUCUGCCUUCUGAGUAGCUGGGGCUAUAGGUAUGUGCCACCACACCCAACUAAUUUUUGUGGGUUUUUUUUUGUAGAGAUGGGGUCUUUCUGUAUUGCCCAGGCUGGUCUUGAACUCCUGGGCUCAAGCGAUCCUUCCACCUCAGCCUCCCAAAGCACUGGAAUUACAGACAUGAGCCACCACACGUAGUCAGUGACUGCUAUUUAUAUCCCCAGUGCCUAAUAGAAUGGGUUUAAAUUUUACCUGUGCUUAAGAAGUGACUAGUACGUACUAGUGGUAACAUGAAGGCAAAUUGAAGGCAUUAGUGGUAACUUGGAGGACCCUGUUCUUCUCUUUCAGAAGAUGCAUGGAUUGCCUUUUAGUUUUUUUGGUUAGCAGAAAUGUUUUGCCCAUAUUUUCUGUAUGGUGAGAAUUCCUCCAUUUUUAAGAAUAUGACAUCAUUCUUCUCCUCCUGAGAAAUAAGCACCUACUUACGAAUACAGAAACCAGCAAUAGUUUUGGGACACAAUUCAGAGGCCUUUUGAUUACCGAUAAUACUCUUUCCCUUGAGGUCUAGCUCCUUGGAGAGAAGAAAAUUUAUAAUCAAACUUUGCCUCUCAUUUGUUUUCCUUCUUAAUUACACUGGGGAAUAGGGUAUACUCUUGGGGUUAAUGGUUUAUUCUUUAUGUAUCUGCUAUGUUCAGCAAUGACUAAGGGCAAUAGCUAGUUAUUCAAAUUUGUCUCAAGUAGGUAAUGCAAUAAAUUGAAAGAGAGAUGCAAUGAAGCAUCAGCAU
rnacentral:lncRNA from 1 species